AGAAGAGGCAGGUAGAACAGAGGUUGUGUCUAUCUGUGAAGAUGGAAGCUCAGUUGGAAGGAGCUGCGUUGGAGGAAGGGCAGCUGGACCAGGGCCAGGAAUGUGCCCAAGAUGCCCUCUCACAUGAGACUCAAAGGUUGCUCGAAAAAACGGCAGACAAAUCUUUGCCCAGUUCCUCAGUCUUGUGAAUCAACAAAGUCUGCGUGUUCUAAGAAGAGUGGGCAAAUGUGUUUUGGGCUCAUGCUUAUUGGGCCGUUUGACUAGGCACUGUAGGAAAUAGAGCCCUGGAUGAGGGAUGCUAGACUGGGGGUGGGCAGGGCUUGAGGUGGGUGUGAUGCCAUGCUGAUGUUGCCUGUGGCCAAAAAUCCAGAUGUGACAUCAGUGGCUCAGCAGAUGCUAUGGACACUCAUUGAGAUGACCCUCUGCUACUGCACGUACUUAAUUCAAGUCUGGUUUUUUUAACCUGGUGUGAUAGUGAUUUUUCAGAUGAUUUUCCUGUUUUUCUUCCACCGACCUGGACUAAAGGGCCCACUCAGUGUCAGCAGCAUCUAUAGUCCCCCAAUGCUCAUGGGUACCUUGUGUUUCUCUUCUGCCUUUCCCACUACUUACCAGAAAGGCUGAGUCUUCUUUCUGAGUGUACAUAGGGUAAGGUUUCACAGACCUGGGAACCGUGGUGCAGGAAGCAUGAUUCACACAAGCCAAUAGAAUAGGGAGUGGAGGCUAAUAU